UGGGGAAUAUUGCACAAUGGGGGAAACCCUGAUGCAGCGACGCCGCGUGAAGGAAGAAGUAUCUCGGUAUGUAAAGCUCUAUCAGCAGGGAAGAAAAUGACGGUACCUGACUAAGAAGCUCCGGCUAAAUACGUGCCAGCAGCCGCGGUAAUACGUAUGGAGCAAGCGUUAUCCGGAUUUACUGGGUGUAAAGGGAGCGUAGGCGGUAAGGCAAGUCUGAUGUGAAAGGCAGGGGCUCAACUCCUGGACUGCAUUGGAAACUGCCGGGCUUGAGUGCCGGAGGGGUAAGCGGAAUUCCUAGUGUAGCGGUGAAAUGCGUAGAUAUUAGGAGGAACACCAGUGGCGAAGGCGGCUUGCUGGACGAUGACUGACGUUGAGGCUCGAAAGCGUGGGGAGCAAACAGGAUUAGAUACC
rnacentral:rRNA from 1 species